CAUGCCUUACACAUGCAAGUCAAACGGUAACAGGUCUUCGGAUGCUGACGUGUGGCGAACGGGUGAGUAAUACAUCGGAACUUGCCCGAUCGUGGGGGAUAACGAAGCGAAAGCUUAGCUAAUACCGCAUAAGAUCUACGGAUGAAAGCAGGGGACCGCAAGGCUUGCGCGAACGGAGCGGCCGAUGGCAGAUUAGGUAGUUGGUGGGAUAAAAGCUUACCAAGCCGACGAUCUGUAGCUGGUCUGAGAGGACGACCAGCCACACUGGGACUGAGACACGGCCCAGACUCCAACGGGAGGCAGCAGUGGGGAAUUUUGGACAAUGGGCGAAAGCCUGAUCCAGCCAUGCCGCGUGCAGGAUGAAGGCCUUCGGGUUGUAAACUGCUUUUGUACGGAACGAAAGACUCUUUCUAAUAAAGAGGGUCCAUGACGGUACCGUAAGAAUAAGCACCGGCUAACUACGUACCAGCAGCCGCGGUAAUACGUAGGGUGCAAGCGUUAAUCGGCAUUACUGGGCGUAAAGCGAGCGCAGGCGGUUAUAUAAGACAGAUGUGAAAUCCCCGGGCUCAACCUGGGAACUGCAUUUGUGACUGUAUAGCAAGAGUACGGCAGAGGGGGAUGAAAUUCCGCGUAUAGCAGUGAAAUGCGUAGAUAGCGGAGGAACACCGAUGGCGAAGGCAAUCCC
rnacentral:rRNA from 1 species